AUAUUGGACAAUGGGCGGGAGCCUGAUCCAGCCAUGCCGCGUGCAGGAAGACUGCCCUAUGGGUUGUAAACUGCUUUUUUACGGGAAGAAACACCCCCUCGUGAGGGGGCUUGACGGUACCGUACGAAUAAGGACCGGCUAACUCCGUGCCAGCAGCCGCGGUAAUACGGAGGGUCCGAGCGUUAUCCGGAAUCAUUGGGUUUAAAGGGUCCGUAGGCGGGCGUCUAAGUCAGUGGUGAAAUCCCGCAGCUCAACUGUGGAAUUGCCAUUGAUACUGGUCGCCUUGAAUCAAUGUGAAGUGGCUAGAAUAUGUGGUGUAGCGGUGAAAUGCUUAGAUAUUACAUAGAAUACCGAUUGCGAAGGCAGGUCACUAACAUUGCAUUGACGCUGAUGGACGAAAGCGUGGGGAGCAAACCGG
rnacentral:rRNA from 1 species